UUCUUCAUCAAAUCUUUGGAUCAGCUGCAGUCUUGCUGACCGAAGACUUAGGCCAGACUUGUGUAAAGCCAGUAUACAGUUUCAUAAUAUUCCACAAUGAGGAAGUAAGAAAAGUGAGCUAACACUUUACUUCAUCAACACGUCAGAGAGAAAUUACAUGAUUUCAUCACGUCUGCUGCUGUGUUUCGUAGAAGAGAAAGCUGUUUUGUCAUGUUCUCUGCAUCUAAUGCCACAUAGUGGCAGUUUCUUCUCUCUCUCUGUCUCUCUCCAGGUGGCGUGAGCUUGGUGUGUGAGCAGGUGUUGCUCAUCGGUUAUCACAGGCAGUUCACAUCCUGCCUCAUUCACUCACCUCUGCAGCACUGGCUUGUCUCCGUCUCACCUCCAGCCGUACACCGGAACGCCAUUCCUCUGCAGCACCUGUUCUUCUCUGUCACUGCUCCAGCCACACACCACCUCCAGCAUCUGGACCCACUUCCUUCCCGGUCCUGUUCUUCCACAGUCUGUUCCCUGCUCUUCCCGGUACCCAAUCAUAGUUAGUUUCUAGUAAUCGUAGUUUUGUGUCAGCUUGAGCUGUUUCACGAAUUCCUGUUAAUAGUGUUUUCUGAUUCCAUGACUACUCUCCUCUAGUUUAGUGUUUAUUGUUCUGGCCACAUACAGAUUUAGUCGGUUAUUGGUUGAGUAGUCCUUUUGAUUUAGUCUUUUCUGCCACUGUUACAGUGUUUGGGCUAUGACAGUUUCCUCUGGUUAUCUUAUGUAGUUUAGCUUACCUGUUAUUUAGCCUCCCACCAUUAGCGGUCUUCCUUGAGUUAUAGAUAGCUUUGUUUUGCUUAAGUAAUUUCUCCUGUAAUUGAAUCUCUCUCCUAAUAAAUAUUAUUGUAUUGCA